rnacentral:rRNA from 1 species
CCUACGGGCGGCUGCAGUGGGGAAUAUUGCACAAUGGGCGCAAGCCUGAUGCAGCCAUGCCGCGAGUGUGAAGAAGGCCUUCGGGUUGUAAAGCACUUUCAGCGGGGAGGAAGGCGGUGAGGUUAAUAACCUCAUCGAUUGACGUUACCCGCAGAAGAAGCACCGGCUAACUCCGUGCCAGCAGCCGCGGUAAUACGGAGGGUGCAAGCGUUAAUCGGAAUUACUGGGCGUAAAGCGCACGCAGGCGGUCUGUCAAGUCGGAUGUGAAAUCCCCGGGCUCAACCUGGGAGCUGCAUUCGAAACUGGCAGGCUAGAGUCUUGUAGAGGGGGGUAGAAUUCCAGGUGUAGCGGUGAAAUGCGUAGAGAUCUGGAGGAAUACCGGUGGCGAAGGCGGCCCCCUGGACAAAGACUGACGCUCAGGUGCGAAAGCGUGGGGAGCAAACAGGAUUAGAUACCCGAGUAGUC